AAGGGUAUAGCUCAGUGGUAGAGUGCAUGCUUAGCAUGCAUGAGGUUCUGGGUUCAAUCCCCAGUACCUCCA
rnacentral:tRNA from 1 species